UACAUGUGGGGCAAGCGUUGUUCGGAAUUACUGGGCAUAAAGGGUGCGUAGGCGGCGCGGUAAGUCGGGUGUGAAAUCUCGGAGCUUAACUCCGAAACUGCAUUCGAUACUGCCGUGCUUUGAGGACUGGAGAGGAGACUGGAAUUUACGGUGUAGCGGUGAAAUGCGUAGAUAUCGUAAGGAAGACCAGUGGCGAAGGCGGCUCACUGGCCGAUACUGACGCUGAGGUGCGAAAGCGUGGGGAGCAAACAGG
rnacentral:rRNA from 1 species